CCUACGUGGGGCUGCAGUGAGGAAUAUUGGUCAAUGGACGAGAGUCUGAACCAGCCAAGUAGCGUGAAGGAUGACUGCCCUAUGGGUUGUAACCUUCUUGUAUAUGGGAAUAACAUGUUCCACGUGUGGGAUUUUGUAUGUAACAUAUGAAUAAGGAUCGGCUAACUCCGUGACAGCAGCCGCGGUAAUACGGAGGAUCCGAGCGUUAUCCGGAUUUAGUGGGUUUAAAGGGAGCGUAGGUGGAUUGUUAAGUCAGUUGUGGAAGUGUGCGGCUCAACCGUAAAAUUGCAGUUGAAACUGGCAGUCUUGAGUACAGUAGAGGUGGGCGGAAUUCGUGGUGUAGCGGUGAAAUGCUUAGAUAUCACGAAGAACUCCGAUUGCGAAGGCAGCUCACUGGACUGCAACUGACACGGAGGCUCGAAAGUGUGGGUAUCAAACAGGAUUAGAUACCCCAGUAGUC
rnacentral:rRNA from 1 species